rnacentral:rRNA from 1 species
AGUGAACGCUGGCGGUAGGCCUAACACAUGCAAGUCGAACGGCAGCACAGGAGAGCUUGCUCUCUGGGUGGCGAGUGGCGGACGGGUGAGGAAUACAUCGGAAUCUACUUUUUCGUGGGGGAUAACGUAGGGAAACUUACGCUAAUACCGCAUACGACCUACGGGUGAAAGCAGGGGACCUUCGGGCCUUGCGCGAUUGAAUGAGCCGAUGUCGGAUUAGCUAGUUGGCGGGGUAAAGGCCCACCAAGGCGACGAUCCGUAGCUGGUCUGAAAGGAGGAUCCGCAACACUUGAAGUGAGACACGGUCCAGACUCCUACGGGAGGCAGCAGUGGGGAAUAUUGGACAAUGGGCGCAAGCCUGAUCCAGCCAUACCGCGUGGGUGAAGAAGGCCUUCGGGUUGUAAAGCCCUUUUGUUGGGAAAGAAAUCCAGCUGGCUAAUACCCGGUUGGGAUGGCGGUACCCAAAGAAUAAGCACCGGCUAACUUCGUGCCAGCCGCCGCCGUAA